rfam:Aedes albopictus isolate Foshan contig89518, whole genome shotgun sequence.
UAAACGGUCCUUUUCAGGACCACUGAAAAUGUUUCCGCAAGAGUUAU